ensembl:snRNA U6 U6 spliceosomal RNA
GUGUUCAGCUUGGCAACACAUAUACCAGAAUUGAAACAAUAAAGAGAAGAUUAGCAAGGCCCCUGAGCAAAGUGACGCCCCUAGUCAGGAAGGUGUUCCUUUUUGUU